UACGUAGGGUGCAAGCGUUGUCCGGAAUUACUGGGCGUAAAGAGCUCGUAGGUGGUUUGUCGCGUUGUUCGUGAAAACCGGGGGCUUAACUCUCGGCGUGCGGGCGAUACGGGCAGACUGGAGUACUGCAGGGGAGACUGGAAUUCCUGGUGUAGCGGUGGAAUGCGCAGAUAUCAGGAGGAACACCGGUGGCGAAGGCGGGUCUCUGGGCAGUAACUGACGCUGAGGCGCGAAAGCUAGGGGAGCAAACGGG
rnacentral:rRNA from 1 species